CUACGGGAGGCACCAGCCGAGAAUAUUCCGCAAUGGGCGAAAGCCUGACGGAGCGACGCCGCGUGAUUGAUGAAGCUCUUCGGAGUGUAAAGGUCUUUUAUGAGUGAAGAAAUUAUUGACAUCAGCUCAUGAAUAAGGGGCUCCUAACUCUGUGCCAGCAGGAGCGGUAAUACAGAGGCCCCAAGUGUUAUCCGGAAUAACUGGGCGUAAAGGGUGCGUAGGUGGUUAUAUUAGUCGUGGGUUAAAAACUCUCGCCCAACGAGAGGAGUGCCCACGAAACGGUAUGACUAGAGCAUGUGAGAGGUGUGUGGAACUCAUGGUGUAGGGGUGAAAUCCGUUGAUAUCAUGGGGAACACCAAAUGCGAAGGCAACACACUGGCACAUGGCUGACACUGAUAGCACGAAACCCUGGGUAGCGAAUGGGAUUAGAUACCCGAGUAGUC
rnacentral:rRNA from 1 species